rnacentral:rRNA from 1 species
UACGUAGGGUGCGAGCGUUGUCCGGAAUUAUUGGGCGUAAAGGGCUCGUAGGCGGUUUGUCGCGUCGGGAGUGAAAACACCGGGCUUAACUCGGUGCUGGCUUUCGAUACGGGCAGACUAGAGGUAUGCAGGGGAGAACGGAAUUCCUGGUGUAGCGGUGAAAUGCGCAGAUAUCAGGAGGAACACCGGUGGCGAAGGCGGGUCUCUGGGCCACUACUGACGCUGAGGAGCGAAAGCGUGGGGAGCGAACAGG